GCCCUGUUUGGAUUUUCCUUGACUAGGUAUUUGACCUAGAUAAGGAUUCUUCAUAUCUUUUUAUUUAAGAUAAAUUUCUUCUUGAAAUUUUUAUGAAUUAUAUAUCAUUAAGAUACCUUUAGGGUGUGUGAAAAUCAAGGAGAAAAAGUAUUGGAGCGUGGAGAUAUAAUAGACACAAAAUUAGGUGUCUAGGUGAGAGCAAAGAGAAGAAGAAGAGG
rnacentral:lncRNA from 1 species